rnacentral:rRNA from 1 species
GAUUUACAUUUGAGUGAGUGGCGAACUGGUGAGUAACACGUGGGAAACCUGCCCAGAAGCGGGGGAUAACACCUGGAAACAGAUGCUAAUACCGCAUAACAACUUGGACCGCAUGGUCCGAGCUUGAAAGAUGGCUUCGGCUAUCACUUUUGGAUGGUCCCGCGGCGUAUUAGCUAGAUGGUGGGGUAACGGCUCACCAUGGCAAUGAUACGUAGCCGACCUGAGAGGGUAAUCGGCCACAUUGGGACUGAGACACGGCCCAAACUCCUACGGGAGGCAGCAGUAGGGAAUCUUCCACAAUGGACGAAAGUCUGAUGGAGCAACGCCGCGUGAGUGAAGAAGGGUUUCGGCUCGUAAAACUCUGUUGUUAAAGAAGAACAUAUCUGAGAGUAACUGUUCAGGUAUUGACGGUAUUUAACCAGAAAGCCACGGCUAACUACGUGCCAGCAGCCGCGGUAAUACGUAGGUGGCAAGCGUUGUCCGGAUUUAUUGGGCGUAAAGCGAGCGCAGGCGGUUUUUUAAGUCUGAUGUGAAAGCCUUCGGCUCAACCGAAGAAGUGCAUCGGAAACUGGGAAACUUGAGUGCAGAAGAGGACAGUGGAACUCCAUGUGUAGCGGUGAAAUGCGUAGAUAUAUGGAAGAACACCAGUGGCGAAGGCGGCUGUCUGGUCUGUAACUGACGCUGAGGCUCGAAAGUAUGGGUAGCAAACAGGAUUAGAUACCCUGGUAGUCCAUACCGUAAACGAUGAAUGCUAAGUGUUGGAGGGUUUCCGCCCUUCAGUGCUGCAGCUAACGCAUUAAGCAUUCCGCCUGGGGAGUACGGCCGCAAGGCUGAAACUCAAAGGAAUUGACGGGGGCCCGCACAAGCGGUGGAGCAUGUGGUUUAAUUCGAAGCUACGCGAAGAACCUUACCAGGUCUUGACAUACUAUGCAAAUCUAAGAGAUUAGACGUUCCCUUCGGGGACAUGGAUACAGGUGGUGCAUGGUUGUCGUCAGCUCGUGUCGUGAGAUGUUGGGUUAAGUCCCGCAACGAGCGCAACCCUUAUUAUCAGUUGCCAGCAUUAAGUUGGGCACUCUGGUGAGACUGCCGGUGACAAACCGGAGGAAGGUGGGGAUGACGUCAAAUCAUCAUGCCCCUUAUGACCUGGGCUACACACGUGCUACAAUGGAUGGUACAACGAGUUGCGAACUCGCGAGAGUAAGCUAAUCUCUUAAAGCCAUUCUCAGUUCGGAUUGUAGGCUGCAACUCGCCUACAUGAAGUCGGAAUCGCUAGUAAUCGCGGAUCAGCAUGCCGCGGUGAAUACGUUCCCGGGCCUUGUACACACCGCCCGUCACACCAUGAGAGUUUGUAACACCCAAAGUCGGUG